rnacentral:lncRNA from 1 species
UGUAUGUACAAGUGUGCAUGUUAAUAUCGUUGAACUCUCAUUUCUAUUCCGUUUUUCUAUUUCAGGAGGAUUAUUAGAUAAACAUGAAAUUUGGAGCCUAGAUGUUCAGUAUAACACUUGGUGGAGCAGUUACUUGAAGAUGAUUUUGAUUCAUAUCAUUCAACGCAUCUAUUUCAAUCUUGAUAUCACAUACAUAAUAGACUAUAAUACUUAUUUGAGCAGAGAACUUGAUCCUUUCCACCAAAUAUUUCCUCUUGCUCUUCAUUUUGGUUAGGCAUUAGUAGACCCUGAGGACUUAAUUCCUCAAAACUUGAAAAAACUGUUAUCUAUUGUGGGAGGGCCUUUUUGUAUAGCCAAGCUAAUUCAAUCUUUCUUGCUGCAGAAACUGGGAACUGAUGGCACCAUGGACAGGACUGCAAAUCAAUGUACCAGUUAAAUUCAUCGUGGGGGACCUGGACGUUACCUAUCACAUCCCUGGUGUUAAGGAAUAUAUACACAAUGGUGGCUUCAAGAAGGAUGUGCCUUCCUUGCAGGAAGUAGUUGUCAUGGAAGGAGUAGCACACUUUCUCAACCAAGAAAAACCCGAGGAGAUUAGCACACACAUUUAUGACUUCAUUAAGAAAUUCUGAUUUAAUUUCUACUUUGGUACGUGAUUUACCUUGAAGUUCUGACUCUAAAAUAACGAAUCACCCGCUUAAUUGUAUUUGAUGCUUUCCUUGUUUUCUUUGUACUGGUGGAAUUAGUAUUGAUGCAGUGCAGAGUGCUUUGUCGACGCUUAUGGGACUCAAAGUUGGUUCUGGUUACAUAUAGGUAACCUGGGGAGAAUAUAGAGGCUGAGGUAAAGGUCAAGCAAAUAAGUCAGGCCUAGUCGAAUAUAGUUAGAUGUUGAGUUCAUUUGUCUGACGAACUUAAGCUUUUAAUAAUCUUCAUCAAGCAACUUAUUUCCAAUUGAGACACUAUUUAACAUUACAAGGUUAAAUAUGAAUUAGAUUCACAGUUUGCUACUAGUUUCAGCUAUCUCUUUUAUCGUAAUGAACUAGAACUCAGUUAUGCGCGAGCAACCUGUUUCAUUUAUUAGGUAAUAACUGAUUAGGUGUAGGAAUUGCUUAGGCUGUCACCUGUAUACUACAACAGCAUCCAUUAUCGCCAGAGCAUAAAAUCUCAAAUUUGUUCCCAUUUCAACGAUACAACGCUUCACAUAACUGCUAUUGACUACAAAUUAUUCAGAUCUUAAAAGUCCCACUCAGUGCCGUGUAUUUUUAAUCUAAACAAUCUACAUUCUCAGUUUUCUGCAAAGGUCUUUCAUGAAACAUACCUUUAUGAAGCUAAGAAAGUCUUGGACUUAAAUCCAGAAGAUAGGGGAAUAAUAGCUACAUUUUAUUUACAAGAAGACACGUAACAAUUAACAUGCCGGGUCUAGCCAAAAUAUCAAGUCUCACUUAAGAUGGUUAACCAAUGAUGACAUUAAGAACAAAACAACUUGAAAAAGACUUGCGAAACAUCUAGAUUCCAAGGGCAAACAAUGCGAUGCCGAAUGCUGAUGGACGUAUCAGCUAAUCCUUGCAUGAUUCGGUAUGGAACAACAUUAAUCUCUUUGAUAUUUAAUUCUGCAAUGGCUAGUGGCAACCCGUAAAUCCUCCAUGGAGAUCCAAACAAAAAACAUGUUCAAUCACUCUAAAAUUUCCUUGAUAAACAAAACUACAAAAGAUUCCCAACUAUAUUAAUGUUCCAUGGAAGAGAGAAAACAGGAAAGAAGAAAAAAAAACUGAAAAUCCUCAUUUUCACGAUGAUAGCUUGAUAAGUAAUUUUCUUCCAGGACAGUUGCAAACUCAAACCCUGAAGCCUUUGCUGUUCCUUCCUCCUCUAGCCUUCUCAAAUUUCCUUCCCUUUGACCGCACAUAGGGCUUGGUGUGACUGUGAGGCACACCAGGAGCUGGUCCAAAGUGCUUCACAGCCUCACAAGCAUUCUUUGGACCUCGGAGGGGAACGUGCAGAUUAAGAUUUUCAGCAUAGAAUUUGAGUCAAUUUUCACCAUUCCACAAUGUUGAUCAGCUAUUCCUUUUGUCAAACCCCUAAUCAUAACGUCAACAUAAAGAGAAAAAGGGGAAUGAUAUGUAAGAUGAUUAUUCUUCAACAUAUGAAAGCUGUUGUGGUUUGUUUUAUUCUUCUACAUAUUCGUGCUUGUUGCCAACUCGGACGAAAGUUGAUUGGACUUAAACCAUAAUAAAAGGAGUUAAAAACUUUUCUAUCACUUGCCACAAAUUUAGUUUUGUCAAAAUGAACUAAUUCUUUGAUGAGAAAACUCCAAUUUAAUUUAAACGCAUGGUUGUUAAUUUUAAAAAUAUUGAAAAGUUCAAUUAGUUUCUAUUCUUCACUCUCUUUCUUAUAUAGGUAUAUUCUUUGGGUUUUGCUGUCAAGUUUGAACAAUUAGUACAUUAAAGGUUAUUUAACACUUGAUUUGUAUUAAACACAUACAAUCAAAAUUAAUCAAAUUUUCUAAUCUAUUUUUAAUAUAUUUAUCAAACACAGUCACGAUAAGUUUUUUUAUUAUUAUUAUUAUUUUGAGUAAGGGUGUAAUUGAGUUAAGUCAAACCGAUACAAUGAGAGGCUUGAACUCGACCUCGAUUCUCAACUCGCGACUCAAUACUUGGUUUGAACUCUAUCGAUUUUUAUUUUUUUAGCUCAAGCUUGAUUUGUGAUCGAAAUCGAGCUAUUCAAUUAAGCUCGAUUAAUAUGUAAAAAUAAGUUUGAUUCUUAUAUUCAACAAGAGCUUGAUUAUUUGUGCUCGAACUUGAGUUCGAAUUUGAGAUAUUUUAUUAAUUAAAAUAAUAAAAAAAUUUAAAUAUAAAAAUUCGAUUAGACUCGCGAGUUACUCGAAUUUGAUAUAAAAAUAUUUAAAUUUGACUCGAUCAAUGAAUUGAGUUACUUGAGUUUAAACUCGAUUCGAUAUCGAGUUGAAUUCAAAUUUUAUUCGAAUUGAACUCGAGUAAUUUAUGAAAAUUAAUAUAUCAUUUAUAUCUCUAAUUUUGAGGAUAUUUGAGUUACUGAAGGAAAGUAUACCAACCAAAGACAAGUUAGUUAAUACCGCUGGCCUUCUUAGCUCAGCCUACUCAUUAACUCUAAUCUAUUUUCUGGUGUAGCUAGGCCUGGUUUAUGAUAUCGGAGGAUCCACGAAGACGACCCAAAACUGUGCCAAUCAAUUGCUGUUGGACCCUAUAGACCCAAACAUGGUUCAUUAGCUAUCCUAAAUUAAAUUACCUUUUUUUAACAAAAAUUAUAAAAAAAAAAGGGGAAUGGGGCGCAUAGAAAGAACAUGUUCAACUGACAAUUAGACGUUCAAUUAAAGAGAAAAUGAUAUCUACAUAUAAAACAUAAUAACAAAUCCCCAACUAAAAUAUCAAUCCAAAAAGCUGAAGUAGUCAAAUACAAAUGACAUUUUCUUGCCCAAUUAUUCAAAAGAAAGAAGAAAACAUUCAUCUUUCUUCCGACUACUCUUAAAAUUAUAAUGAUAUAGGCAUUUUAUUUUUUUUAUAUAUAUUUAAAAUUAUCAAAAUUAAAUUUUAAUAAAUAAAGUUUAAUUAUGAACUUUAAUCUCACCAUUAACUAUUAUUAAAUCCAUCCCUGAGUUGAAUGAAAAGAUAAUGAUGCUUGAAUAUAAAAGCCUUUAAAAGAGUUAGACUCUUAAAUAUUGAAUUGAAUUUCUCACUCACAUUUUUAUUUUUUUAUAAUACAAGAAAAAAUGGUCCCUGAAUUUAAGCCAAAAAAAACAACCAAUUUUCCAAUGACAUAGCCUUUUAAAGUGUCGAGAUUUUAUGGCACAUCAAUUCCUUACCUUUCUUAUAUAAUACCAGAACACAAGUCUAAUUUCACCUCUAAUCUCAGCAUCAGCAUGUUAUUGUUUAGAAUUUACAUAAUUUUUUUUUAUAAAUGUUUCAAUUGAGGAUUGAAGAAACAAAGACUGAAAUAAAAAGAAAAACAGGUUAAAAAAAUCAGUCUAAAAUUUAUACUCAACUGUUAGUAUUUAAGUUUUAAAACUAAUAUCAUUGUACUAAUUUUAAAUAACUAUUGUUAAUUCUAUUCAAAUGUACAUAUUUCAAACAAUAAUUAUUAGAUAAAAGAGCUUACUAUUAUUGUUUCAUUAAAGCCUUUAAAAACACAUUAAUGGUUAAAUUUGAAUAUUAUAAUAAUAUUAUUUAAAAGUAAUAAAAUAUAAUAAAACAUAAAAAUUAUUUUAUAUUUAAAAUUUUUAAUUUUUCAUUUAUUUUCUAUUUAUUCUAAUCUGAAGUAAUUAAAAAUGAAAGCUUUAGAAAAAAAAAAGGAAAAUAUACUCUAUUUCCUUUUAUUUCUUUUAUUAAUAUGUAAAUGAUAAACCAAACAGAAAUAAAAUUUCCUUAUUUUCCGUACUUUCCUUUUUCUCACAUCCCCUCGAUUCACAUUGGUAUUUCGUUGCGAACACUCAACAGUAUCAAAUUUUGGAUUUUCCUUCUUCUUUUGGUAUCUUUUAUUUGCUUGGUUUUUCUACCUAAGUUUCUGAUUCAGCUUGCCUUUUUCUGCGUAUUUUGGUUCCACCCCUAAGUCCAAACCAAAAAUGACAGGCAACCCAACGUAGAAUAUCUUUAAGAAAAUUCUGUUUCAUAAACAGACAAGACUUUAUAUUUAAGACCAAUGCUAUACCCCAUACGGGAAACGGCCAAACUCGGGGAACUCUCACUACAAAAAAUUUGUCUGAAAGCGAACAUGGAGAAGAUAGAGCACACCAUCGUGACCACCAACGGCAUAAAGAUGCACGUGGCAUCCGUUGGUUCAGGUCCUGUUAUCCUUUUCUUGCACGGCUUUCCUGAGCUUUGGUACUCCUGGCGCCACCAGCUUCUUUCCCUGUCAUGCCUUGGGUAUCGUUGCAUGGCUCCCGAUCUUCGUGGGUUCGGUGACACCGAUUCUCCGCCCUCGGCGGAUUCAUACACCAUAUUCCACAUCGUGGGGGAUCUCGUAGGCCUCCUCGACUCGCUCGACAUUGACCGCGUGUUUUUGGUGGGACAUGAUUGGGGUGCGGUGAUUGCUUGGUAUUUUUGCCAGUUUCGGCCUGAUAGAGUCAAAUGUUUGGUCAACAUGAGCGUGGCGUAUCAGCCUAGGCACCCCAAGGUGAAGACCGUGGAAGGGUUCAGGGCUUUGUUUGGUGACGAUUAUUAUAUUUGCAGGUUCCAGGUAAUUUAUUCAGCCACAUGAUUUUGAGUUACUUUCAUGGUUUCUCUUCUCUGUUCAGAAUUGUCAUUCGGAAUAACGAUUUUAUUGGAUAAAACUGCAUCUGGGUUUAAGAAAAUUUAGUCGUUUAAUGAUCGUUAGAUUAGUUGGGUGACUAUAUAUUUGCAUUGUUGAACUUUCUACUUGCAAGUAGUUCUGAAGCCAUUAUCACAAACUACAAUUAUCCAUUUCCCCUCUCGUCUUUUUUUUUUUGUUUUAAAAAAAUCCUUUGACUAGAGCGAGAAGAAAAUAAUUUGGUAAUACAUUGAUUGUUUUGCAUGAGAGAAUUGCUUGAAUUACUGGGGUUAUUGACUUUUCUGGUAGUUGAGUAGCAUCAAUUAUGUGAAUUUGGAAUAAUCGGGUUCCCCUAUCUGUUUUUGGUAAUGGACUUUCAGCAUUUAAGUUUCAUGCCUGAGCGGCUCCACUUAUUUUUGUCUUGGAUUAUGGGCCUCGUCUUAACUUUUAAGAUAACAAAAUCCAGUGUCCCACUCCCACAACGACUAAUAUAUAAGAAGAGAAACUCGGGUAGUGGGUUGACUUUUGAAUUGGUGAUUUCUACAUACUCAUAUUUUCCAUUCGAAACUUUUUUGUGCGGACAAAUGGUUUCUUUGAGGUGUGAUUAAUGAAGGAAGCUAUAGUCAUCUCUGCUGGAUCCAGAAACAAGAUUAUAGUGAAGCUUAGACUAUUGUCCGCUGUCCAGUUUACCUCAACCGAGGAUAUGUCCCCACGAUUGUUUACAUGAUUGAGACCACAUUUAGUAUACAUAUUUUUCUUGUUACAGCGAAAGGAAUUGCUUGAUACUCUGAUGUUUACAUUUCUUCUUUUCUAUUAUCUGAAGUCCUCAUAUCUAUUCAAUUUUAUUUUCAUUGUAUGUAUUCUUCAUUAUGCUAUAGGAGCCUGGGGUGAUCGAAGAAGACUUUGCUCAGAUGGAUACUGCAAAGCUUAUGAAGAAAAUUCUUACAUCUCGCUGUCCACGUCCACCUUGUAUACCUAAAGAAAUAGGGGUCAGAGGGUUGCCUGAUCCUCCAGCCUUGCCCUCUUGGCUUUCAGAAGAAGACAUCAAUUACUUUGCUAGCAAAUUUAAUGAGAAGGGAUUCACUGGAGGACUUAACUAUUAUCGAGCUUUAGAUCUGUAUGUACAAGUGUGCAUGUUAAUGUUGUUGAACUCUCAUUUCUAUUCCAUUUUUCUAUUUCAGGAGGAUUAUUAGAUAAACAUGAAAUUUGGAGCCUAGAUGUUCAGUAUAACACUUGGUGGAGCAGUUACUUGAAGAUGAUUUUGAUUCGUAUCAUUCAACACAUCUAGUUUCAAUCUUGAUAUCACAUACAUAACAGACUAUAAUACUCAUUUGAGCAGAGAACUUGAUACUUUCCACCAAAUAUUUCCCCUCGCUCUUCAUUUUGGUUAGGCAUUAGUAGACCCUGAGGACUUAAUUCCUCAAAAACUUGAAAAAACUGUAUUAAUUGUGGGAGGGCUUUUUUGUAUAGCCAAGCUAAUUCAAUCUUUCUUGUUGCAGAAGUUGGGAACUGAUGGCACCAUGGACUGGAUUACAAAUCAAUGUACCAGUUAAAUUCAUCGUGGGGGACCUGGACAUUACCUAUCACAUCCCUGGUGUCAAGGAAUAUAUACACAAUGGUGGCUUCAAGAAAGAUGUGCCUUUCUUGCAGGAAGUAGUUGUCAUGGAAGGAGUAGCACACUUUCUCAACCAAGAAAAACCUGAGGAGAUUAGCACACACAUUUAUGACUUCAUUAAGAAAUUCUGAUUAAUGUCUACUUUGGAAUGUGAUUUACCUUGAAGUUCUGACUCUAAAAUAACGAAUAAGAGGAUGCGAUGCACCUGCUUAAUUGUAUUUUUUGCUUUCCUUGUUUUCUUCCUACUGGUGGAAUUAGUAUUGAUGCAGUGCAGACUGCUUUGUUUAUCUUUAUGGAACUCGGGU